rnacentral:rRNA from 1 species
UACGUAGGGCGCAAGCGUUGUCCGGAAUUAUUGGGCGUAAAGAGCUCGUAGGCGGUUUGUCGCGUCUGCUGUGAAAACCUAAGGCUCAACCUUGGGCUUGCAGUGGGUACGGGCAGACUAGAGUGCGGUAGGGGUGACUGGAAUUCCUGGUGUAGCGGUGGAAUGCGCAGAUAUCAGGAGGAACACCGAUGGCGAAGGCAGGUCACUGGACCGCAACUGACGCUGAGGAGCGAAAGCGUGGGUAGCAAACAGG